rnacentral:misc_RNA from 1 species
GCAAACUUGGUCAUUUAGAGGAAGUACAAGUCGUAACAAGGUAUCCGUAGGUGAACCUGCGGAUGGAUCAUUACCAAAGGAAUAACUUCCUACGCACUGUGAACUGUUUUGACUGACAGUCAGUGACUGUUUGCCCUGCUUACUGUAGGGCUACGUGUUGCUGACUGUACUUACUAAACGUAUUGUAACUGUUAAACUGAACUACUUUAGUAUGAACUAAAGACAACUUUUAGCAAUGGAUCUCUUGGUUCUCGCAUCGAUGAAGAACGCAGC